rnacentral:rRNA from 1 species
CCUACGGGGUGCAGCAGUGGGGGAUAUUGCACAAUGGGGGAAACCCUGAUGCAGCGACGCCACGUGUGGGAAGACGGUCCUCUGGAUUGUAAACCACUGUCCCCAGGGACGAAAAUGACGGUACCUGGGGAGGAAGCUCCGGCAAACUACGUGCCAGCAGCCGCGGUAUGACGUAGGGAGCGAGCGUUGUCCGGAAUUACUGGGGGUAAAGGGAGCGUAGGCGGGGAUGCAAGUUGGGUGUCAAAACUACCGGCUCAACUGGGAGUCGCACUCAAAACUGCAGCUCUUGAGUGAAGUAGAGGCAGGCGGAAUUCCUAGUGUAGCGGUGAAAUGCGUAGAUAUUAGGAGGAACACCAGUGGCGAAGGCGGCCUGCUGGGCUUUUACUGACGCUGAGGCUCGAAAGUGUGGGGAGCAAACAGGAUUAGAUACCCGUGUAGUC